GACGAACGCUGGCGGCGUGCUUAACACAUGCAAGUCGAACGGAAAGGCCCUGCUUUUGUGGGGUGCUCGAGUGGCGAACGGGUGAGUAACACGUGAGUAACCUGCCCUUGACUUUGGGAUAACUUCAGGAAACUGGGGCUAAUACCGGAUAGGAGCUCCUGCUGCAUGGUGGGGGUUGGAAAGUUUCGGCGGUUGGGGAUGGACUCGCGGCUUAUCAGCUUGUUGGUGGGGUAGUGGCUUACCAAGGCUUUGACGGGUAGCCGGCCUGAGAGGGUGACCGGCCACAUUGGGACUGAGAUACGGACCAGACUCCUACGGGAGGCAGCAGUGGGGAAUAUUGCACAAUGGGCGGAAGCCUGAUGCAGCAACGCCGCGUGCGGGAUGACGGCCUUCGGGUUGUAAACCGCUUUCGCCUGUGACGAAGCGUGAGUGACGGUAAUGGGUAAAGAAGCACCGGCUAACUACGUG
rnacentral:rRNA from 1 species